ACACUCCUGCGGGAGGCAGCAGUGGGGAAUUUUGGACAAUGGGCGAAAGCCUGAUCCAGCAAUGCCGCGUGUGUGAAGAAGGCCUUCGGGUUGUAAAGCACUUUUGUCCGGAAAGAAAUCCUUGGCUCUAAUACAGUCGGGGGAUGACGGUACCGGAAGAAUAAGCACCGGCUAACUACGUGCCAGCAGCCGCGGUAAUACGUAGGGUGCGAGCGUUAAUCGGAAUUACUGGGCGUAAAGCGUGCGCAGGCAGUUUGCUAAGACCGAUGUGAAAUCCCCGGGCUCAACCUGGGAACUGCAUUGGUGACUGGCAGGCUAGAGUAUGGCAGAGGGGGGUAGAAUUCCACGUGUAGCAGUGAAAUGCGUAGAGAUGUGGAGGAAUACCGAUGGCGAAGGCAGCCCCCUGGGCCAAUACUGACGCUCAUGCACGAAAGCGUGGGGAGCAAACAGGAUUAGAUAUCCUGGUAGUCCCAUG
rnacentral:rRNA from 1 species